GCCAGGGCUGAGAUCCCGAAGGCGGGCGAGGUCUGGGAUGGGGCGGGGCCUAUGGGAGCGGGGCUGAAGCCCUGGGCCCGGCAGAGGAAGGUCGAGAUGGACCAUGUUGGGCCCCUUCUCUCCCCGCCCCCAGGCCGCAGUUCGGGGGCCACGCCCCGGCGUGCUCGGGUCACCGCGGGAAGCCCUUGAACCCCCUGGCGCCCGGCACCCACGUGCGGUAACCGCGGCUCCUCGAGAGCUCCAGGGAUGCGGAUCUACAGUAAGGGCUGUGGCCAGAUGAAUGAAUGCACAUUUUUUAGUGGGCAGAAAGAUGUUAGAAUUCAUGAAUUAGAAUAAGCACAAAGGAGGGCGAGAGGGGAGGCCGUGGAAGCCGCAUUCCUCCCCUUGCCUUGGGCGCCCACCCCCGAAGGGGCGCGUCCCCUCCCUGCUCCACUGCACGUGGGUGUUUAACCAGGGGAUAUCCAGUGCCUCAAGCACCACGACCCGGGAGAAAACUGAGUUGAGAAGGCCUUGGGGAUGAAGGUGAGAAAUUCGAGAAUCCCCGGAGAUAACACAUCAGCAAAUAGUGCGCAGGCAGAACAAGCUGUUGGAGGUGAGAGACACAGAGCAGAGAAGCACCCGCACCUGGAGAGUCAGGAGGGCCUCACAUCAGAACGCCUGAGCAAAUACAGUUUUGAAGGAUACUAAUUUUUUAAAAAGUUCAUUCACAUGAGUUAGACAAAGAGAAAGAAGCAGGACAUUCUAGGAAGAAGGAACGGCCCAGGCAAAAGCGACGCGUACAUUGGCGUGGGUCCAUUCAAGAAUUGUGCCCACAAUAUACCAGGCACUUGUCCAGACCUGCAUCGUCCAAUGCCCACCUCGACCUCCCAAAGUGUUGGGAUUAGAGGCGUGAGCCACCGCGCCCUGCCUGCAUGUGGCUAUUGAGAUGUGCUGUAUGAUACACACCGGACUUUGAAGACUCAGUGUGAAAAAUAAAAAGAAUUUUAAGAGGGGUGGGGGUCGAGGGGAGGCAGAGCAGUAGGACAAAUAGCUAAUGCACGCAGGGCUUAAAACCUAGACAACAGGUUGAUGGGUGCAGCAAACCACCAUGACACAUGUUUAUCUAUAUAGCACCUACAUGUUCUGCACUUGUAUCCUGGAACUUAAAAUUAGAAAAAAAAAAUAAUAAAAGCCAACAUGGCAUUCAUUACUGCCAAAAAAAUUAAAA
rnacentral:lncRNA from 1 species